rnacentral:lncRNA from 1 species
GGCCAAAAAAUUUUUUUCAAGUCAUCUAGGAUUGAAAAUACAUAGAAUGCGAUCUCCUCUUACUAGGAGUGAUCGAUUCUAUGUUGACCUACUCACAACCUCCAUAUACACUCCACUAUAUCCAGAAUAUCCCGUACAUGUCUUAAUGCUAUGCUUGGGAAUGAACCAAAAUAUGGGUUCAUGUGCACAAGAUUUUAUGGUGGUCUCAGGUCUAAUGAUCACUUACAUAACUCCCACUUAGAGAACCAUCUUUGACAUGCAAGUAAGGCUUCCA